GUUUCCUGGUGCGGGGCAGUUCCUGGGGCUUUGUCCAAAUCCUCCAGUCAAACCCUGGGAGUUUGGGCUCUGGUUUGCUCAGAUGGGAGCUCCAGCGUGGAAAUGGAGCCUCGGAGCGGCAGCGUGCUCGGCGCUGGAGUUCGAUGCUGUAUUUAACCCCUGCUGAGGAGAAGCCUUUGAACAGGGAACCUCUUUUGACCUUUGGUUGUGCCUCUAACGCUUUAUUCUCCAGCCAGUGAUGAAUAAAAGUCCUGGAAAGUCCUCAAAGCCUCGAAGCAAGCAGCUUUCAACCAGCUCUCCCAGUGGGCUUGCAGUAAAGUGCUCAGGAGGGACACCUGAAAUUCUGCCUGGAAAACCAACAGCAGAGGCACACGAAGCACCAGAAUCAGAGAGAUGAUCUAUGGUGGAAGGAGAGAGAUGUCGAUCCGCUCCCACGUGCUGCGACCUGGGUGGUUUUCAGUGUUCAGAAAGGGUCCUCAGAUGUGCUGGCCCAGAGCAGGGUGGACACCGACUACAUCCCGACUCACCCUCGCUUGCCGGCAGCUUGAAAACAAGGGUGACUCCAGUAAUAAAAUGCUGUGCAGUGACAACCAGCAGCGGGAGAGACGCCGGCAGGAGGUCACCUGUGUUCCCAGCUCCUUUCCCCAGCUCUGCUCAGUGAUCCCAGGCAGAGUGUGACACCACCUGCUAACACAGCGCUCAAGAUGACUGAUCCGAGUAGAAGUGACAGCUCCUGGCAACACAUCACAAGCCUGAAAAUUCAAACCAGGCUCUCCAAAAUGUUGAGCUGAGAGUCAGCGAGGUGGAUUCUGGCUGCUGCCCCCUGUGACGGGCUCCUGAGGUACGUGUGGGACACGGAGAGGGGACAUGAGUGAUGGGACAGGUGGCUGGGAGUGUUGUGUCUGCACAAGGGCUUCCGAUGGCCCCAUUAGAAAGAACACGGAGCACUGGGACCCUGGUUGUUUUUUCUUUCUCAGCCAGCACUUAAAUGCCAACACAAUAAGAAACACAAUGCAUUAUUUAAAAGCCACUGUGCUUGACCCUACAAGGAGCUUUUCAAUCGCCUGAAUGUCAAGGAGAAAGAUGUUGCUGUUUCACUGGUGGCCAGUGGGUUAAACUCCUCCUCGUUGACAAUGUGACCGGGGUGAGAUGGUGCUGAGGUGAACGUGUGUGUGGGUGCACGAGGGGCUGCGUGUGAACCCCGUGGAGUCACCCCAUGGAGCAACCCCUGGAGCUGUCGCUCUGGGCUGGGAAAGCCAAGGGAAAGGAAGGAAAACCAGUUUAAGAGCAGUAGCUCUUAGAAGAAGCCGUUCAGACCUAUCAAGCUGCUCCUCAGCUGUAUUUCACCUGCUGCCCCCGCAGCCUUUUCUUGGGGCAAAGCAGGUUUGGCCACGGGCUUUUUAUUGCUUGUUUAUCAAGCUGCAGACCCUUCUUGUGCACUAACUUCUGUUAGCAAAUUGUUUCCAACCUCCUGUCCCGUUCUCUGCCUUCAGAAGAGACUUUUUCCUUCGCACAAACUUGCAGUGAAACCCCUUGCAAGGCUGCAAAGUCAUUAGCUGCGAGUCACUGUUGGAAUGAGGUUGUGAGCAGUAGCAGAAGUCAGAAACUGGGAUCUCUCUGUAAGCAAAAAUCCUCAAUCACUGUAUAACAAUCAGUGGUGUAUCUCUAUAUCUAGCAAAUGUUGUUUUGGAGAUGAGAAAAGGUCACCAGUCGCAGUGUGGCAUUUCACCCUCUGACCUCAUUAGAGGUUUUUCCUGAGUAAAUCACUAGUUUUAUUUGUU